AGUGAACGCUGGCGGUAGGCCUAACACAUGCGAGUCGAACGGCAGCACAGUAAGAGCUUGCUCUUACGGGUGGCGAGUGGCGGACGGGUGAGGAAUACAUCGGAAUCUACUUUUUCGUGGGGGAUAACGUAGGGAAACUUACGCUAAUACCGCAUACGACCUACGGGUGAAAGCAGGGGAUCUUCGGACCUUGCGCGAUUGAAUGAGCCGAUGUCGGAUUAGCUAGUUGGCGGGGUAAAGGCCCACCAAGGCGACGAUCCGUAGCUGGUCUGAGAGGAUGAUCAGCCACACUGGAACUGAGACACGGUCCAGACUCCUACGGGAGGCAGCAGUGGGGAAUAUUGGACAAUGGGCGCAAGCCUGAUCCAGCCAUACCGCGUGGGUGAAGGAGGCCUUCGGGUUGUAAAGCCCUUUUGUUGGGAAAGAAAAGCAGCAGGUUAAUACCCCGCUGUUCUGACGGUACCCAAAGAAUAAGCACCGGCUAACUUCGUG
rnacentral:rRNA from 1 species